rnacentral:tRNA from 1 species
GGUGGGUAGCUCCAUGGUAGAGCACUUGCCUAGUAUGUGUGAGGCUCUGGGUUCAAUUCUCAGCACCACUU